AAGCCACCAGGCCGCAGCGUGGGGAACAGCACAGCCACUCGGCUCAGCAGCCUCUCGCAGGGCCCCGGGCCUGCCGCGGCUUCUGCCUCCGGCUCCGGGCUGAAGCAGAAGCUGAAGCGGCGGAUCUCGCGGGUCGCCUCCUCCUUGCCCAGAAGAUAGGCCUUCACCGUGAACGACGCCAUAACGGUGGAUUAGGUACGGACGAAACAGCUGGGCAGUGGCGGCGGCGAGAGCCCAGCUUUUAUAGAAAACGGGGGGGCCCCGCCUCAUGGGGGCGGAGCUAGAGAGGCUCCGCCCCUCCCUGCUGUCUGGGCGGCCGCUCGAGCCCCUUUGAUAGGACCCCCCUGACAGGUAUGGGGCCGAGGUGGCCCCCAUUGCUUACUCUUUUCUUUCCCUCCGAAUACAUGGGUGAUCCCAAGAAACCAACCUCAGCCUCAGCUCGUUGGGAAAAGGACUGCCUAUUGAGUCGUGGGAUGAGGAGUCCAUGUAAGUGCUGAUCAGCUGAAGCCAAGGCCACUGAGGCGGAGAUGCUCAGACCAUUCUCAAAGAGACUGGAGAUCACAGGGCACAGCCCCCGUAGAUCCUCACUCCACCCAGGCUCGUGAGUAUUGGGAGGACUCCUUCACAACUGAAAAUACCAGCCAACUUGUUUUCAGUCUGUUUAUUCCUACCAAGGCCACCAUUCUGCCUCCUCUCUGAUGCUGAAGUGGAACCUGUGCUCAGCCUUCUCCUGGGUGCCGCACCUUUAGGUAUGCUGGAAGACACAGAAGCCACAUCAGAUCAUACACUGUGUGCAGUGGAUCAGGACUCUCGCAGGAGCCUGUGGCCCCUCCCUCCCACCCCACCCC